AUAUGAUAUGCAGCUGUUAAAAGAAUGGAGGAGCCCAAAAUUCAACAUUAGAGUGGUUACUGCAUUAUAUCCCUUCUUUUUUAGCUCUUUCUGACUUCUCUGACUUUGCUCCAUCAUCUCCAUUUCUUCUGCUUCUGCUUUCCCAUGAGGCUAUAAUUGCCUGCAUAUAUCUCUCUUGAAUCUUGAUGAGCUUAUGUCUCCGUUUAUUCACUUUUUAUCUAUUUUCACCUACUCCAUAAGUGGUAAAAACAAGAAAACACAAUUGCUACUAUGUCUUUUCUUUUGAUACUUUCUCACUAUCUCCAAAGCAACAUGUCCUUGAGCCAUACUAGCCAAUUUCAAGAUACCACCAUGUGAAGCAUUAGUCAAUCAGCUUCAGCAGCUUGUUCGAUUUUUCUCUGAUUCAGAUAGACCAAAGUAUUUUUGCUUUUCAUGAUCAUGACAUUGCAGAACAGCAAAUUAGAAUCUGAAAAUGAGUCUGAAAUCAACAGCCAAGUGGCAUCCAAUGUAUCUUUGCAAGAACCAUCCCCUGAUCCUUCCAAGGACAGCAGCACCCCGUCUUCCUCUCUCACAGAUCUUGCUAAGCUUCAACAUGGUCCAAUGCCUGUUUCCCUUGACCUAUCACUUACUUUUAACUCCAAUGACAUUGAGUUGAAAGGCACAGGUGAGACUAGCAGUAAAGUAGCUGCCCCUACUCCAGCUGCAACCAUCCCCAGAGUUUUCUCUUGCAACUACUGCAGACGCAAGUUCUACAGCUCACAGGCACUCGGAGGCCACCAAAAUGCACAUAAGAGAGAACGAACAAUGGCGAAGCGUGCAAUGCGUUUGGGAAUAUUUUCAGAUAGGUAUACUAGCUUGGCAUCUCUGCCACUUCAUGGUUCUGCAUUUAGGUCCCUUGGGAUCAAAGCUCAUUCUGCGAUGCAUCAUAAUAUGGUACCACCACAAAAGCCUCCUGAUACAAGAGGUGGAGCUAGAUUUGAGCAAAGCUAUUAUGGAACUCCAGUAUUCACGGAAGAUGAUGAUGUUGGCCUGCAUUGGCCCGGAAGUUUUAGGCAGGUGGAUGAAUCAGUUGGUGGUAAGUUUGGCUUAGAGUUGGGUCAAAGUCGAAAUAUGAAUAUUGUAGAAAUGGCACAGCAGCCAAGGACCGAUUCAUCUGCACCGGAUCUUACCUUGAAGCUCUGAAUUUUGUAAUUUUCUUUUGAAUUUAUGAUUUAGAUAUGCUGCUCAUAAUAGUCUUUGCUUUGUACAGUGAGAUAUGCAUUGGCAACAGGCUGAGAUUAAUUUUCCACUAGAACAAUCUUCUUGUUCUUCUUCUUCUUCCUCCUUAUUAAUUCUAAUUUGUACUUCGCAUCACUGACUAACGUUGUUGUGCAAGAGAUUCUGAAGGCUUAAAUUAAUCUCAAGGUCUUGCAAUAAUAUUUAUGUUAAUGUGCAUUAGAGAUCCC
rnacentral:misc_RNA from 1 species